UUAAAAAAAAAUACCCCAAGAACAAACCCUACGAUAUGCUUUUUCAUGGGAUAAUGAUGAUACAAAGAAAAGAAAAACAACUAUCCGGGGGAAAAAAUCUUUCUCUGAUGGGACAGAGAAAAAAUCUGUUUUCUAUUAAUUUCUUUCUCACUCACUCGAUUUCUGUUUUUUACUUUUCCUUGAUUUUCACUAAAAAGAAACAAUUUUUUACCUCAUCUUAGGAAGAAGAAGAAGUCAGGCGCAUAGGUUUCAUCUGCAAUAAUGAAUGUAUAGAAUUGACGGUUUACACAAGAGAAUGAAGGUGAUGAAUCUUAAUAUUCAUAAAGAUCUGCAGAUGGCACGGAGGGUUAUACAAUCUCACCAAGAUGAAGGCCAAGCAACGGAUAUGAUAAUGAUUCAAUCAUAGCUACUUUCCUUGCUGAUAUGUGUGAAGUGCUUUGAAUCCAGAGACAAUAGUACUAUAUAGCUGGCAGGGUCUGCCAUUUGGAUUUGGUUUGUGCAGUAUCAUGUUCAUCAUCAUAAUUUCAAUACUGUUGAAGGCAGAGGCAUUUCAGAUUCAAUGAAGAUGGUGAUGACAGUGAAUGGGAAAAUGAUUCAUAUAGUAUAAAUUGUUGGUUUUAUAAUUAAACUUCGUUUUUUAUACGCCAAAUUCAAAAAUGUAUAAAAUUCCUGGAGUUUCUUUAUAAAAACGCAAUGGAUGUGCUCUGGAAAUAUAAAUUUGGGUGAAUAAUUAAGGUCAGGAGUAGAAUUAUGGACCACAAGGAUAUGGUGCUCACGAUGCAUAUUUGCGCAAAAGUGGGAAUCCUUGGCUGUAUAACAGGUUCACAUGCACAACAACAUUGCUAUGCAUUAGUGGUGUUAGGCGUCUUUUGUAACUUUCUUAUUUAUAUGCUUUGGAAGCUUUGUGUCCAUGUAUUCUCUUUUCAAAUGAUU